rnacentral:rRNA from 1 species
UGUAAGCGUAUACCAAAGUUGUUGCAGUUAAAACGCUCGUAGUCGGAAUUUGGCAGUUCCGGAUGUGUGCACGUCGUGUGCGCACUUCGCGGGGAUUGCUUUUGUGGCCUUGCGUAGGAUGAGGCACUUUUAUUAGUGAACGUCCUCACGCAACCACUUUUUACUGUGAGAAAAUCAGAGUGCUCAAAGCAGGCAUUUGCCGUGAAUGUAUUAGCAUGGAAUAAUAGAAUAGGACUUGGUUCUAUUUUGUUGGUUUGUUGGGACUGAGUAAUGAUUAAGAGGGACAGUUGGGGGCAUUUGUAUUUCGGUGCUAGAGGUGAAAUUCUUAGAUUACCGAAAGACAAACUGCUGCGAAAGCGUCUGCCAAGGAUGUUUUCAUUGA